GAGUUUGAUCUGGCUCAGAACGAACGCUGGCGGCGUGGAUAAGACAUGCAAGUCGAGCGAGAUUUUUUCUUGUAGCAAUACAGGGAAAAGUCUAGCGGCGAACGGGUGCUUAACACGUGGGCAACCUGCCGUGAAGUGGGGGAUAGCUCGCCGAAAGGCGAAUUAAUACCGCAUGUGAUUAGAGAGGACAUCCUUUCGAAAUUAAAGUCGGGGCAACCUGACGCUUCUUGUGGGGCCCGCGGCCUAUCAGCUAGUUGGUGAGGUAACGGCUCACCAAGGCUUUGACGGGUAGCUGGUCUGAGAGGACGACCAGCCACACUGGGACUGAGACACGGCCCAGACACCUACGGGUGGCAGCAGUCGAGAAUUUUUGACAAUGGGGGAAACCCUGAUCGAGCGACGCCGCGUGGAGGAUGAAGGUCUUCGGAUUGUAAACUCCUGUCAUUGGGGAACAAGGUGCAUACGUUAACUGCGUGUGUAUUGAUAGUACCCGAAGAGGAAGGGACGGCUAACUCUGUGCCAGCAGCCGCGGUAAUACAGAGGUCCCAAGCGUUGUUCGGAUUCAUUGGGCGUAAAGGGUGCGUAGGCGGCGCGGUAAGUCGGGUGUGAAAUCUCGGAGCUUAACUCCGAAACUGCAUUCGAUACUGCCGUGCUUGAGGACUGGAGAGGAGACUGGAAUUUACGGUGUAGCGGUGAAAUGCGUAGAUAUCGUAAGGAAGACCAGUGGCGAAGGCGGGUCUCUGGACAGUUCCUGACGCUGAGGCACGAAGGCCAGGGGAGCAAACGGGAUUAGAUACCCCGGUAGUCCUGGCAGUAAACGGUGCACGUUUGGUGUGGGAGGAUUCGACCCCUUCUGCACCGGAGCUAACGCGUUAAACGUGCCGCCUGGGGAGUACGGUCGCAAGAUUAAAACUCAAAGAAAUUGACGGGGGCCCGCACAAGCGGUGGAGUAUGUGGCUCAAUUCGAUGCAACGCGAAGAACCUUACCAGGCCUUGACAUGCAUCUCUAAGUUGGUGAAAGCCAGCGAGUCCCGAAAGGGACAAUUUGCACAGGUGCUGCAUGGCCGUCGUCAGCUCGUGUCGUGAGAUGUUAGGUUAAGUCCUUCAACGAGCGCAACCCUUAUAGUCAGUUGAAUUUUUCUGGCUAGACUGCCCCGGUUACGGGGAGGAAGGAGGGGAUGAUGUCAGGUCAUUAUUGCCCUUACACCCUGGGCUACAAACACGCUACAAUGGCCGGUACAAAGGGCAGCGAACCCGCGAGGGGGAGCAAAUCCCAUCAAAGCCGGUCUCAGUUCGGAUUGUAGGCUGAAACCCGCCUGCAUGAAGCUGGAAUCGCUAGUAACGGUAGGUCAGCACACUACCGUGAAUACGUUCCUGGGUCUUGUACACAC
rnacentral:rRNA from 1 species